AUUGCAGGGUUGGGUUGUGGGGUGACCCUCUCAGCCUCCAAGCCCACCCCACGCCACAUCACCCAGAAGCCGCCCUCAGAGCAUGUGAGUGCCGCCUACAGCUGGAGGGCCUGCCUCAGAAGCCAGUUAGUGCCUUGGGGCUCUUGGGCUGGCACUCCCCGUGCCAGCCUCACAUCUCAGUGGCAUCACCAACCUCACGGUGCUCCUGCAGACUGGGUGUUGUGUCUCCCACAGAUGCGGAGAAGGGAGGCAGCCUGGUGGUGGGGGACUUCGAGAUCGCAGCCAAGUACGUGUGUCGGACCCUGGAGACACAGCCACAGAGCGGCCCCUUCGCGUGCAUGGACCUCACCUACGUCAGCCUGCUACUCCAGGAGUUCGGCUUUCCCAGGAGCAAAGUGCUGAAGCUCACUCGGAAAAUUGACAAUGUUGAGACCAGCUGGGCUCUGGGGGCCAUUUUUCAUUACAUCGACUCCCUGAACAGACAGAAGAGUCCAGCCUCAUAGUGGCCGAGCCAUCCCUGUCCCCGUCAGCAGUGUCUGUGUGUCUGCAUAAACCCUCCUGUCCUGGACGUGACUUCAUCCUGAGGAGCCACAGCACAGGCCGUGGUGGCACUUUCUGCACACUGGCUGUGGGACUUGC
rnacentral:sRNA from 1 species